rnacentral:rRNA from 1 species
UAAAAAUCAAAGGAAUCAAGGGCG